GACGAACGCUGGCGGCGUGCUUAACACAUGCAAGUCGAGCGGUAAGGCCCUUUCGGGGGUACACGAGCGGCGAACGGGUGAGUAACACGUGGGUGACCUGCCCUCAGCUCUGGGAUAAGCCUGGGAAACCGGGUCUAAUACCGGAUAUGACUCCACGACGCAUGUUGUGGGGUGGAAAGCCUUGUGCGGCUGAGGAUGGGCCCGCGGCCUAUCAGCUUGUUGGUGGGGUGAUGGCCUACCAAGGCGACGACGGGUAGCCGGCCUGGGAGGGCGACCGGCCACACUGGGACUGAGACACGGCCCAGACUCCUACGGGAGGCAGCAGUGGGGAAUCUUGCGCAAUGGGCGAAAGCCUGACGCAGCGACGCCGCGUGAGGGAUGACGGCCUC
rnacentral:rRNA from 1 species